ACCAGCCCCAUCUUCCUUCAGGACGGCGAUCUCCCCGCACGGCCGCACCCCAGACCCCACUCUUCCCGAUACCGGCGUAAGGCGAAACUAGGUGUGACGCCGCUGUUUCGGUCGUCGACGUUGAGAGACUACCCCUUUCUGUCCAUGCCCUUCUUGAUCGAAGGCAGUCGUUCAAGGCGGAACAACGCCGCCGCUGCCCUCCCCACCUUUCUUCCGCUGGCACAGUUGAGAGGGGCUCCAGCCUCCAGCAGCAUGUCAGGUGGCGGAGUGUGGCCUUCCUACUGGGCCACGCGGUCAGCGGAAAGGGAUUUAUUGGUUUGGGCACUGAUCUGCAGGUUUGGCUGGCUGGUGCUCGCAUCUCCUCUUGUGAUCGUUGAUGUCAAAUCCUCUUCCCACAAAGUCAGCUUGCCACUUAUUGCAAUCUACCCUCCUCCAUGGCAACCAGACAUCAGAUUUCAUCGACUUUAUCUCUGUUUCCCCCUCUGUCAAAAUGUUGUGCGAGAAUGCAUAUUCAGGAUCAGUGUCCCGCUACGCCUCAUCUCGCACUAAAAGAGGACCAUGAGUGUGUGUUGCCUCCGGGAAUAAUGGCAAAAAGACACCAGAAGAUUGCAUUGUAGGUUUUCUAGACUCCUAAUGACUUCCCUUCCUUUGCAUAUGGAUGAACGUAAUCAGCAGAUUUCGUUUUCCACUUAUAUGCUUUUGAAAACAAAAGGCUACGUAGAUAGAUAAUGAAAAAAGUUUUGAAUAUUCUGGUUGACAGAUCGUACAGAUCGUAAAUCAUCCUCAUAGAUGUGUUCUGCACUUUUCUUGAUUAUGUUAAUGUCAGUUUGUAUGUGUUAAAGGAACCAACUAGAAAAGUAAGGAAGUGUAAAGAUCGUUGGGAUAAUUUUUUGGUGAUGCUUCCAUGCUUCUGUUUCUUAAGAUCGUAGCCAUCUAUGUGGGUCAUAGGUUUACCUUUUUUAUAAAUAAAUUUACACCAAGGAUUAAAUUUAUCAUAUAUUUGGAUUAUCAUGUGUUUAUUAUUCUUCCUUUUUCCUUUUAUUGGAUUAUCUAGGAUGAAAAUUAAAUUCCACAAUGUCACGGCAAUUUUUAUCAGGAUCAGUGUCCCGCUACGCCUCAUCUCGCACUAAAAGGGGACCAUGAGUGUGUGUUGCCUCGGGAAUAAUGGCAAAAAGACACCGAAAGAUUGCAUUGUAGGUUUUCUAGACUCCUAAUGACUUCCCUUCCUUUACAUAUGGAUGAAUGUAAUCAGCAGAUUUCGGUUUUCCACCUAUAUGCUUUUGAAAACAAAAGGCUACGUAGAUAGAUAAUGAAAAAGUUUUGAAUAUUCUGGUUGACAGAUCGUACAGAUCGUAAAUCAUCCUCAUAGAUGUGUUCUGCACUUUUCUUGAUUAUGUUCAUGUCAGUUUGUAUGUGUUAAGGGAACCAACUAGAAAAGUAAGGAAGUGUAUAGAUCGUUGGGAUAAUUUUUUGGUGAUGCUUCCAUGCUUCUGUUUCUUAAGAUCGUAGCCAUCUAUGUGGGUCAUAGGUUUACCUUUUUUAUAAAUAAAUUUACACCAAGGUUUAAAUUUAUCAUAUAUUUGGAUUAUCAUGUGUUUAUUAUUCUUCCUUUUUUCCUUUUAUUGGAUUAUAUAGGAUGAAAAUUAAAUUCCACAAUGUCACGGCAAUUUUUAUCAGGAUCAGUGUCCCGCUACGCCUCAUCUCGCACUAAAAGGGGACCAUGAGUGUGUGUUGCCUCGGGAAUAAUGGCAAAAAGACACCAGAAGAUUGCAUUGUAGGUUUUCUAGACUCCUAAUGACUUCCCUUCCUUUGCAUAUGGAUGAACGUAAUCAGCAGAUUUCGUUUUCCACUUAUAUGCUUUUGAAAACAAAAGGCUACGUAGAUAGAUAAUGAAAAAAGUUUUGAAUAUUCUGGUUGACAGAUCGUACCGAUCGUAAAUCUGUUACAGUGAAUAUUUUAAUUUCAAGUGUAAAGGUAACACUUAUUUUAUAUGGAUUACUUAUUAUUCUAAAUCUCAAUGGUUAUCUCAUAAGUCUGAACUCCAAAGUUAACAAUUUUUUCCAUGUUAUAAAUCAAAUAACUUCCAUAUGUACAAUCUAUUGAUUUUACAAGGGAUGCUAAUGUAGCAACAAAGCACCAACUAAGUUCCAGCAUGAAGUACAUGAUUCUGGUUUCCCUUAGCUGCAAGCUUUAGUAAUAUUACACUUUGACCUCUAAGUAUUAUUUCUCAUGUCCUUUUACAAUUUAUCAUUUGCUAUCUUCCUAUUUUCCUUUCUCUCUUCUCCGGAUUAAGUGACCGAAAGUAAACCAUUUGCUAUACACUAGAAACCUUAAGCAUCUGAAAUUUAUGUUGAAUGUUUAUCAGCAUCCAUAAAUUACUUUUGCUCAUCAUGUACAUUAUCCUUCUCUAAAUCGUGUUGUAAAUUUUAAGGUAGGAGUCCAUUGACAACACUGAAGAUCAAAUAAAAAGGCAACAAAUAUUACGAAAAAAAAUUACAGCUGCAGAAUUCCAUAGAAGGGUAGGAGGCUGCGAAAGGAAACCCUAGUGCUCUGUCGAACUCUACUUCGAGCGGUGGCAGCCACCACGAUGAGCUAGCUUGUCUGGCUACGGCUCUGCCACUUUCAUCAUGUUCCUCAACAAGCUUGCUGACGUCAAAGAACUGAUAAUACCAAGGGAAGAUGACGUUGCUUAGUUGUUGUGCUGGUGCCUGAUGGACAUCUCGGCAGGAUGUAACAGUUGCUGUACUGUUGGCAGGCUUCUUGACUCUCAACCCCAUUCCUGAAAGGUGGGCUCUUAGGGAUUGGCUUGUGUUAUAAGGGCCCAACUAAGAAGUUUAAUUAAUUCGGAAGAUUGGGAAGUUGCAUGUCCAUUUUCUUUGUUAAUGUGUUCCUUGAAGAGUAUACCCUUUGAUAUUUAGCAACCAGAUUGUCACUUUUGUAAGAAGUUUGAACUUCUUAUUGUCUAUUUGUUUAAAUGCGUGUGUUGCCUAAAAGAUUAUCUGACAUCCAGUUUUGUUCGGGUGAAUGUCAUGCUUGUGUACACUAAACAUUGUUGAUUUAAUUUAACAGCUAGGCCAUGGACAUAAUUAGCGUAGAUGCCAUUAACUAGGAUGUUCAAGCCAUUGGAUGAGCUCACUGUUGACAGCAAGGUUAUGUUCUGCUUCCAAAGUCAAUCUUCAUGUAUCUAUAAUCAGCUCUUGUUGGACACACUUAUUCUGUGAUGCUACAUUUGCAGAAUAUUUUAAUGUUUACUGAUUUUGAGAAUUCCAUUGAAUCUGGUAAACUUUUCACCGAAUUCAGGCUCCAACUUUUAUCAGGCAAUAAUAGCAAACGUGAACUACAAAAGGUAAGACAAGAAACUCAUUUACUGAUAUGAGCUACUCUGUAUCGGUUGAAGGUUAAUUUUACUUACCUUUGUCCGAUGGCAUGUGACGUUUAAAUGUAAAAAGACUUAAAAUUCAGUUGACUAUAUUUAACUACUGCAAUAAAGAAGUGUCUGAUCGUCUCGGUUAAGCUAGGUAACUUCAUAUUUUUCAACUUUAUGAUUCAAAUCAGAUUUCAUCCUUGAAAUUAUCUCUACACUUUAUUAAGCGAACUACAUCAUUGAAUUGCGUGACUUAGAAUUCGAACUAAGAUCCUUUGUUGUUCAGGUUCCACUCUUUAAUUACCUUUGGUAAAAAAAAAUUGACUGAGGUUUUAGGAAUUCAUUUUUCUCUUUUCCUGUCAUUUUUUUCUAUUAUGUAAAACACACCAGUUGAAUUUAACCCCAAAGUACACUGCUUAUAUAAAUGGGACAUCAUCUGUAUAUUUUAUGUUGUCAUUUCAACUUUAACUUUGAGGGUUUCUGAUGUGUAGUCAAUACGAAGUGUUCAUGAAACUGACAUUUAGCAUGGCAUCAUGAUCUCAUCUUAUGUGGUUAUUGUUCCCUUCAGGUGUUAAAAGAUAGACUAUGAAAUUGUAUUGUUUCAUAAAAGUAUCUACUAAUAUCAACUUUCAUUGCAUGUAAUUAAAAUUUGAAGUUAAUUUACAUCCUUAUCUUUCAACUGUUUGCUUCCGAAGCUUUUGCCAUGACACAGAAAGAAUACCCAAGACACCAAAGCAGGGCAUUAUACAUAAGAAUAGUAAAGCUUUGUUGAAAGUGUUAGCAUACUACUAUGCUUCAUAUCCGAUUAUUUUUCUGCCUACAAAAUAUUUCUUUAUUAGUUUAGCUUCAUAUUUGAGGCACUGUAAACAUAUUUAUUACAUUGAGCAUUAGUCUAUUUGAUAAAUAUAUGUGCAUUGCGAAUUCUAGCAGAUAUAUCUAUCAGUCUAAUUCUAUAAUGGAUGGGUGUACGUUGCCUUGAUAUUCUAUUUCACGACCACAGUAUCAAAACCUUGCUAGAACUUAACCUUGGUUUCUAAUUUCUAGAGCGACUUGACAUUCUUGUAUUUCAUCUAUAUAAUUUGUUGAUGAUACUCUUUAUUGUAAAAUACCUUCACCACUUGUACAUGAAGAGUUGGGUUGUAAAGCUAAUGGUCUAUUGGACAAGUAAGAGAUGUUUCAUACCGUUUGAGUACGCAGUAUCUCAUGCUAUAGCCUUACAUGAUUGCAUGUUAUUGCUUCCUGCUUUUCAAAUGUUAUUUGGGGGACAGCCCAUUAUGCUUUGUGACCUUUGUCUACAUUAUAUAUCAGGUGGGAACUUGGUACUUUAGGGACUAAUCAGAUAGUAUCUUUUCAUGUAUGCACUACACUCAUCUUGAUUAUUGUUGCAAACAUGGCUAACCUAACAGUAUGUAUAGUCUAAGGAGAAUAAAUUAUUGUUCACUAAUAUCUCUUUGUAGAUAAAUACACAUAUCACCUCACUUAUUUCAACUGUGAGAUCAUUACACAAGUCCAUAAAAUCUGAGACCAACAUCACCCAAGAGUCUUACGUGCCUAUAAUUGAAAAUCAUUUUUCAUCAUGUGACAUGAUUUUGAGUUAUAUAGACUAGCCGCAUGGUCGUGCCGUGAUUCCUUGGUGCUAUUGUCCCAUUAUUUAAUUAUUCUUGUGUUAGUGAUUACUUAUUUUGAAUAACCCCAGCCCCAUCUUGGUAAUACAACUCAUGAACUGAAUGUAAAAAAAAAACAAUUAUGCAGUUUGCCUUUACCUUUGGAUUAUGCAACCAUGUUCUUUAAUUCAAACUUUUAUUGAUUUUGCUUUUGCCAUCUAUAAACAUGCAAUUGUUUCACCUAAUGGCAGAACUUCACACUUUUUUUUAUUUCUAUGCUCCAUGCCGGUUUUUGUACUCAUGUUAUUUGUACCAUCCAUCAUGCUUAGCCUCCUUUGUUGUUGUUGCAUUUAUUUGCUUUAUGUUAUUGCAGGUUAAUAAAGGCAAUGCUCAUGGCUAGCUGAAAAAGGAGUGGCGUGGUUCUGGUGAUAAUAAACUUGUUUUAUCUCAUCAGAUGGAACACAAUGGUUAUUGUUAGCAUGCCUCCAUGUUUCGAAUAGUUUAGACAACGCAAGUAUGCAUACAUGAUCAGGACUUGUGUAAGCACUUUCUUUGCCAUUGUUUAUCGUUUUUCAUCUCAUUUUGAAAUGUGUAUUAUAUCAUCAUUUCCUUAACUCGAUGGUACGAUUAAUGCUACAAAUAACAAUAUAUGUAGACCCAGUGACAAGACAUGUUCAUAA